ensembl:lncRNA
CCUCAUCAUAAACCUUCUGAGAAAUGCUUGAUUCUAGUGAACUCUCACACCUCUUGAUUCCUUUCUGUGUUAAUGAUUUACAUAGGAUCAUACGCAUAGCCAACGGUUCUGAGCCACUUACAGUAAGCUGUCAAAGAACUCUCUCGUUGGUGCACGCAGUUCUCUCUCAAACACGCCAGCUAAUGACUUAUCAGAUGAUGAUUAUCUCUAGCAAGUAUCUAGCAGAUAUUUCGCUUGAGUUAGUAUCACCAGGAUGACUAUCUGGAAUGUGCUUGUUCAAAAGUAUCUUUGCUGCCUUUAAAAAGGCCUCAGGCACAUCUUAUUGUUCUGUGGAAGUAGAAUGAAGAAGACUUCAGACACAAUAUUUUGUCCUUUCAGAAUGAGAUUUGCCAUAGUAAUAUUUAAAACCCAUUUGGAGUUAAAUGUUACCUGAGACAAUAUGCAAACAAUACAAAAGUGGAUGACUUUGUAAAAGCCCCAACGCAAUACUGCUCAUGCAUUCUAUGAAACUUCCGAAGCAGGAAACACUUUUGGCUCCAGAACAGUAUUGUCUUCUGAUUUCCUGAACUCAGAGAUGCAGGCAUAUGGAUAGGGAGUACAGCUCAGUAAAGAUUUUGGGCAAAUGGCCAGACUGGAGGAAGCUUCCCAACACUUUCCAGCCAGGAAGCCUCAGUUGACAAUCCUAGUGCCAGGCCACAGCACUGCCUUUCAUUCACACUAUGAGUGAUGGUUUGCUCAGAGAACAGCUUCCUUGUUGCACUGACUGAGGCCAGCAUAGGACAGAAAUGCCAGAAGGCACUGUGUGUAUGGCCUCCUUUGCAAGUUGUUCAUCCAGGCACACAGAAAAUAACCAGAAAGGACAAGGCACAUGCACUAGGUCCUGCCAAGUUGUCAAGAGAAGUUCAUGUGGUACAAUGCAGAAGCAGGACAGAUUCCAUGUGAAUAAAGCCUCUAUUUCCCUUUGUAGAGAGGCACAUGCCUUACUAGGAUGUGUACUGUUUCCUUUCCAACAACCAGUGCCUCUUAGGAUUUGCUGAUGAGUGCAAGUUUCUGUUGCUUUGGAAAAAAUUGUUGCAAAAGAUGAUGAGGUGGUGUAUUAACUCCUCUCUGCUUUUCAGUUGGCUUCACUUUCCAUGGGAGGACUACUUUACUCAAAUAUUCAAGAUGAAAAAAGUGCCUUCGCUGUUACUCUUUUAAAAAUAUAUAUUAUUAGUAUUGUGAUCCCUCAAGAGAACUGUUGCACACACAGCAACCAGCUAGUAAAGGGCAGAGAUAGCAAUCAGGAAUGAUUAAACCGUAAAAAAAUGUCAGUGGCAUAACAUGACCUAACUGUGAUUCCACAAAUUAUAGAUGAAUGCAGAGGCUGAAAAAGCAAAAGCAGAAAACACACUGUAAUCUUUAUAUUCAUAUCCCCCAAAUUUUACCAAAUUCUUUGGACCAGUUGCAGACAUUUACAGAAACUAGCUGCUGUUUUCUGUACUUUGUCCAUUGAGAAAUGGGUUUGGGUAGAAAAGUUGACAAGAGAGCUUGAGAUUAAACUUGUCCUCGUCUUUAGAGGUCAGAUAGGUCAUAUUUACAGAGACACAUGAGCAAAUUCCUACCCCCAGUGUGCUGAUGAAAACAGGUUGGGAUGGAACAACAUGACCUUUACAACUCUGCUACUAAGAAAAGCCACGUGUGCAAAGGUACACACAAGAAGGAGGGGGAAGAAGUGGAAGCUUGCUCUCAGUGUUAGAUUAACUCCUGCUUCUUAGUGACAGGCUAUCAAGUAUGUGCUUGAGCUGAGAAUCCUACAAGUGCCAUGAACAGUACCAGACUAACCUCUGCUCUGAGGCUUGCUUGUGAAAGACAGGGCAGGUUUGCUUGGUUUGCUCUUGGAUUCAUGGCAAGACCUAUCCAGAAAAUAGGAUGCUGUACAUACCUGACACAGCUUCUCUUCUGAGAAAAAAUCCUGAAGGUUUCACCAUAUUUUGUUAUGAUAUAUCCAAGAAAGAGAACUAGACUGUCACAUUUUCAUUCUAAAAAUAAUCAAAACCAGCACAUGGCCCAACUGAAACACAAGAGAAUCAUUUUCAGAUUUUCACUUUGUCUUAAAUUUUGUGAUAGAGUUGUUUUAUGUUAAUUUUGCAAGAAAAGCUAGAAAAUGUCUGUUGAGCUCACAGCUUAGGGUUGGGGUUCUGAGGUGGGAGCCUGGCGUGCACUCCCACAGUCAGUCAAGACAAGGAAAAGCUCUCAGGCUUUCCCAUUUUAGAUUCAUUCUGGACUGAGGCAAAAAUUUUAUCAGUUCAGAGUAAGGUUUGAAAAAAACUCUGCCUUUAAACCCUACUACUUCCAGUCUAAGACAGUUUACUACUGCCUAAGAGACAAAAGAGUUAAUCCCUUUCCUGACAUGUUCACAGGACUCUGCAUUUCACAGAGCGUUCAAAAACAGAAAUGAAUGAUUCUUCUCAGUAUUAUUAAAAGACACAUCUCCAAGGUAAAAGACUUGAGGUUCUCAAGUGAAGGAUAACUCUCAUACAAUUUUGGUGCAGUUUAUACGACAGAAGGAAGGUGUGCCACCCAAAGGAACCUGGACAAGAUUGAAAAGUGGGCCCACAUGAACACAGCGAGGUUCAACAAUCCAAGUCUAAGGUAUUGCACUUGGAUUGGAGCAGUGCCAGACAUCCCAGACUGGAAGAAGGACAUGGAGGUUUGGAGGACAAAAAGCUGGACAUGAGCCAGCAGUGUGCGUUUCCAGCUCAGAAGACCUACUGUAUUCUCAGUUGCUUCAAAAGAGGGAGGGCCAGCAGGGAGAGGGAAAGGACUGUUGCCCUCUGCUUUGCCUUCAUGGGGCCCUGCCUGCAGCACUGCUUCCAGGCCUGGGGCCCCCAGCACAAGAAAGAUGCUGAGCUGUUGGAGCGGUUCCAGAGAAGGGCCAUGAAGAUGAUCAGAGGGCUGGAGCACCUCUCUUACAAAGACAGGCUCAGGGACUUGGGAUUGUUCAUCCUGGAGAACAGAAGGCUCCUGGAGGACCUCACUGCUGCCUUCCAGUACUCAAAAGGAACUUGCAAACAGGAGGGAAACCAACUUUUUACAAAGCAUUCUGCUCUGAAACAGAAAACUGUUGACAUUAAAUCAGACCUUCAUCACCCUGCUAGAUGCCCUGACCUUCUGCAGCAAAUCCUAGAAAAGAUUUUGACCUUUUCAUGACAAAGAUGUCCUAAAUGUCUCUCCAAAGGCCUCAGCUGCAACUCUCAAGUCAAAGGUAAUGAUGGUAUUUGGAAUCUGCAAGAUAACAGUGUAACAGGAUCUGUCAGCUGGACAUGGAGGAGCAAUCCUUGUAAGAAACACAUUCUGUCUGAACACAAUCCCAUUUCAUACUUGUGUUCCCAUGAGUCUCAUGUGGACAAUUCAUAAGGUACUGCGGGAUUCUGGGGUAUUUAUUACAAAAUACAUAUAUACAUAUAUUUGAUCCAUCAAGACUUACAUAUAUGAAAUUCAUAUUUCCUUAUGACUGUUCCUUUGUUUUAUCUAUUGAAGCACUACAAGGAAUGUUUCUCUGUUUUUGAUGUCUCACAUACCUAUUAGUGCAAAGUAAGCUGAUGAAAGCACAGGCACAUGGAGAUGGACAAUUCUGAAUUAAUUCUACUAGAUCUCACCUACCAUUGGCUUUACAUGGUACAAAUAUCUACUCUCUAGCGUUAUGUAACUUGUAGUAUAACAAUUUGCACUUUGUAGAAGGUUUUGCUUAUCACAUGCAUUGUGGACAGGAACUACUUAAUUUUCAUGAGAAUUUCUUGAAGACAACUGUGCUAAGAGGCAGAGGGA